UGCAUCUGCCGGGAAUCGAACCCGGGCCGCCCGUGUGGCAGGCGAGCAUUCUACCACUGAACCACC